UAAAGAAGCUCUGUUUACGUUAAUUCGCUUUUGGGUCCUCAUUCACGCACCGUAACAAUAUUAAAUGUUUUGUCAUAAACCUGUUCUCCACUGUGCUAUACCAAAUGUUCUCCACUGUGCUAUAUUAAAUGUUUUGUCAUAAACCUGUUCUCCACUGUGCUAUAUUAAAUGUUUUGUCAUAAACCUGUUCUCCACUGUGCUAUAUUAAAUGUUUUGUCAUAAACCCGUUCUCCACUGUGCUAUAUUAAAUGUUUUGUCAUAAACCUGUUCUCCACUGUGCUAUAUGAAAUGUUUUGUCAUAAACCUGUUCUCCACUGUGCUAUAUUAAAUGUUUUGUCAUAAACCUGUUCUCCACUGUGCUAUAUUAAAUGUUUUGUCAUAAACCUGUUCUCCACUGUGCUAUAUUAAAUGUUUUGUCAUAAACCUGUUCUCCACUGUGCUAUAUUAAAUGUUUUGUCAUAAACCUGUUCUCCACUGUGCUAUAUUAAAUGUUUUGUCAUAAACCUGUUCUCCACUGUGCUAUAUUAAAUGUUUUGUCAUAAACCUGUUCUCCACUGUGCUAUAUUAAAUGUUCUCCACUGUGCUAUAUUAAAUGUUCUCCACUGUGCUAUAUUAAAUGUUUUGUCAUAAACCUGUUCUCCACUGUGCUAUAUUAAAUGUUUUGUCAUAAACCUGUUCUCCACUGUGCUAUAUUAAAUGUUUUGUCAUAAACCUGUUCUCCACUGUGCUAUAUUAAAUGUUCUCCACUGUGCUAUAUGAAAUGUUUUGUCAUAAACCUGUUCUCCACUGUGCUAUAUUAAAUGUUUUGUCAUAAACCUGUUCUCCACUGUGCUAUAUUAAAUGUUUUGUCAUAAACCUGUUCUCCACUGUGCUAUAUUAAAUGUUUUGUCAUAAACCUGUUCUCCACUGUGCUAUAUUAAAUGUUUUGUCAUAAACCUGUUCUCCACUGUGCUAUAUUAAAUGUUUUGUCAUAAACCUGUUCUCCACUGUGCUAUAUUAAAUGUUUUGUCAUAAACCUGUUCUCCACUGUGCUAUAUUAAAUGU
rnacentral:lncRNA from 13 species